UUAAUCAUCUUUAAUCUGUUAAGUGAACACAACUGUCUGGAAAGGGUGUGUCUCCCUGCCACAGGUCAUCAUGAAAUGUCAAAGCAAGUGCAUCCAAGAGGGGAAGGCAGCCUGACCACCAGUCUCCGAGCCCGAGAUUUACUGAGCGGCAGAGGUGUAUGUGACUCACUUCUUCCCUUCGUGCCAUCCAGGGAUAAGCAGACACACACAAAUUUGUCAGGCUUCCCAGAGUCGCUGCCAGUCAGGUGCGGUUGUCCUUGCCCAGGAGCUGUGGGGAGAUGCAAAGAACGAUAGUGUUUUUUCUUCCUCUGGUACAGCUGCAGCACAGCGACUGAAGUGAAGCACAACCACAGCCCUGAC